rnacentral:rRNA from 1 species
GAACGAAGCAAUUAAAUGAAGUUUUCGGAUGGAAUUUGAUUGACUGAGUGGCGGACGGGUGAGUAACGCGUGGAUAACCUGCCUCACACUGGGGGAUAACAGUUAGAAAUGACUGCUAAUACCGCAUAAGCGCACAGUACCGCAUGGUACGGUGUGAAAAACUCCGGUGGUGUGAGAUGGAUCCGCGUCUGAUUAGCCAGUUGGCGGGGUAACGGCCCACCAAAGCGACGAUCAGUAGCCGACCUGAGAGGGUGACCGGCCACAUUGGGACUGAGACACGGCCCAAACUCCUACGGGAGGCAGCAGUGGGGAAUAUUGCACAAUGGGCGAAAGCCUGAUGCAGCGACGCCGCGUGAGUGAAGAAGUAUUUCGGUAUGUAAAGCUCUAUCAGCAGGGAAGAAAAUGACGGUACCUGACUAAGAAGCCCCGGCUAACUACGUGCCAGCAGCCGCGGUAAUACGUAGGGGGCAAGCGUUAUCCGGAUUUACUGGGUGUAAAGGGAGCGUAGACGGCGAAGCAAGUCUGAAGUGAAAACCCAGGGCUCAACCCUGGGACUGCUUUGGAAACUGUUUUGCUAGAGUGUCGGAGAGGUAAGUGGAAUUCCUAGUGUAGCGGUGAAAUGCGUAGAUAUUAGGAGGAACACCAGUGGCGAAGGCGGCUUAC